rnacentral:rRNA from 1 species
CAGCAGCCGCGGUAAUACGAGGGGGGCAAGCGUUGUUCGGAAUUAUUGGGCGUAAAGGGUGCGUAGGCGGUUUGACAAGUCUUAUGUGAAAUCUUCGGGCUCAACCCGAAGUCUGCAUGAGAAACUGUCGGGCUUGAGUAUGGGAGAGGUGAGUGGAAUUUCCGGUGUAGCGGUGAAAUGCGUAGAUAUCGGAAGGUACACCUGUGGCGAAAGCGGCUCACUGGACCAUAACUGACGCUGAUGCACGAAAGCUAGGGGAGCAAACAGGAUUAGAUACCCGGGUAGUCCCUGUCUCUUAUAC